rnacentral:rRNA from 1 species
UACGGAGGGGGCUAGCGUUGUUCGGAAUUACUGGGCGUAAAGCGCGCGUAGGCGGACCUGCAAGUCGGGGGUGAAAGCCCGAGGCUCAACCCCGGAACUGCCUUCGAUACUGCGGGUCUUGAGUCCGGGAGAGGUGAGUGGAAUUCCUAGUGUAGAGGUGAAAUUCGUAGAUAUUAGGAAGAACACCAGUGGCGAAGGCGGCUCACUGGCCCGGUACUGACGCUGAGGCGCGAAAGCGUGGGGAGCAAACAGG